rnacentral:lncRNA from 1 species
AAAGCGGGCUAGCCUGCACGCACGCCAAGAUGGAGCUCCAGGCUAGCCCACAGAACAGCCCAGCCGCAGCCGUCCUACCAGACCAGCACCUUGUAACCACAGUCUAACCCAGCGGGCACCAGGCGGGUGGCCUAGCUGUCCGUACUCCCCAAACGCAACCUUCCAGUCCCAAACCCAGGCGUUCUAAGCGCUCAGGACGACGAUUUGCGCUCACGCCAGGACCCUAGUCUUCAUUGGACCCUUCCUCAUUCUGUCCUCAUUGAGGCCAUCUGAGAAUAGGGGCUAUCUGAGAAUGCAGGGGAGUGGACAUCGUGUGCAGACAGGGAGUCUGGGGGCAGGAGCUGUCCGGGUCCCUAGACUCUCCGAGUAGCAGGUUGUGAGUGCCACGGGGCUGAGGCCUGCGCCGACCUGGUCUGCUGGUGCUACCAGGCUUGAACAGUCUUCAAAUCCACUGCUAUUAGGCAAAUUACCUGGCUCCCGCUGAACUCCAGCACCUAGAACUAUGUCACACUCGUAGUAGGCCGCUGCAUUGGUUGAACAAAUGAUUUUGAAAGAAUGAAUGUCUUCCUCUGUGCCUGCAUUUCCUCAGAAGGCUGUAACAAAGAUUAAAUAGGAAAAUUCGUGGAAAGUUCAAUUACU